rnacentral:rRNA from 1 species
GAUGAACGCUAGCGGCAGGCUUAACACAUGCAAGUCGAGGGGUAACAUUGGUGCUUGCACCAGAUGACGACCGGCGUACGGGUGAGUAACGCGUAUACAACCUACCUUUUAGCGAGGAAUAGCCCAGGGAAACUUGGAUUAAUGCCUCAUGGCAUAAUGGAUUCACCUGAAUUCAUUAUUAAACAUUUAUGGCUAUUAGAUGGGUAUGCGUCCUAUUAGUUAGAUGGUAAGGUAACGGCUUACCAUGGCAUCGAUAGGUAGGGGUCCUGAGAGGGAGAUCCCCCACACUGGUACUGAGACACGGACCAGACUCCUACGGGAGGCAGCAGUGAGGAAUAUUGGACAAUGGGAGCAAUCCUGAUCCAGCCAUGCCGCGUGCAGGAAGACUGCCCUAUGGGUUGUAAACUGCUUUUACAGAGGAAGAACCACCCCGAGUCCUCGGGGUUUGACGGUACUCUGCGAAUAAGGAUCGGCUAACUCCGUGCCAGCAGCCGCGGUAAUACGGAGGAUCCAAGCGUUAUCCGGAAUCAUUGGGUUUAAAGGGUCCGUAGGCGGGCAGUUAAGUCAGUGGUGAAAGUCUUCCGCUCAACGGGAGAACUGCCAUUGAAACUGAUUGUCUUGAGUUAUUAUGAAGUGGUUAGAAUGAGUAGUGUAGCGGUGAAAUGCAUAGAUAUUACUCAGAAUACCGAUUGCGAAGGCAGAUCACUAAUAAUAUACUGACGCUGAUGGACGAAAGCGUAGGUAGCGAACAGGAUUAGAUACCCUGGUAGUCUACGCCGUAAACGAUGGUUACUAGCUGUCCGGCCCAAUUGAGGGCUGGGUGGUUAAGCGAAAGUGAUAAGUAACCCACCUGGGGAGUACGUUCGCAAGAAUGAAACUCAAAGGAAUUGACGGGGGCCCGCACAAGCGGUGGAGCAUGUGGUUUAAUUCGAUGAUACGCGAGGAACCUUACCAGGGCUUAAAUGUAGUCUGACAGGAGUGGAAACACUUUUUUCUUCGGACAGAUUACAAGGUGCUGCAUGGUUGUCGUCAGCUCGUGCCGUGAGGUGUCAGGUUAAGUCCUAUAACGAGCGCAACCCCUGUGGUUAGUUGCCAGCGAGUAAUGUCGGGAACUCUAGCCAGACUGCCGGUGCAAACCGCGAGGAAGGUGGGGAUGACGUCAAAUCAUCACGGCCCUUACGUCCUGGGCCACACACGUGCUACAAUGGUAUGGACAGAGAGCAGCCACUUCGCGAGAAGGAGCGAAUCUACAAACCCUAUCACAGUUCGGAUCGCAGUCUGCAACUCGACUGCGUGAAGCUGGAAUCGCUAGUAAUCGCAUAUCAGCCAUGAUGCGGUGAAUACGUUCCCGGGCCU